CGAACGGGUGAGUAACACGUGGGCAACCUGCCCAAAAGAGGGGGAUAACACUUGGAAACAGGUGCUAAUACCGCAUAACCAUAGUUACCGCAUGGUAACUAUGUAAAAGGUGGCUAUGCUACCGCUUUUGGAUGGGCCCGCGGCGCAUUAGCUAGUUGGUGGGGUAAAGGCUUACCAAGGCAAUGAUGCGUAGCCGAACUGAGAGGUUGAUCGGCCACAUUGGGACUGAGACACGGCCCAAACUCCUACGGGAGGCAGCAGUAGGGAAUCUUCCACAAUGGGCGAAAGCCUGAUGGAGCAACGCCGCGUGGGUGAAGAAGGUCUUCGGAUCGUAAAACCCUGUUGUUAGAGAAGAAAGUGCGUGAGAGUAACUGUUCACGUUUCGACGGUAUCUAACCAGAAAGCCACGGCUAACUACGUGCCAGCAGCCGCGGUAAUACGUAGGUGGCAAGCGUUAUCCGGAUUUAUUGGGCGUAAAGGGAACGCAGGCGGUCUUUUAAGUCUGAUGUGAAAGCCUUCGGCUUAACCGGAGUAGUGCAUUGGAGACUGGGAGACUUGAGUGCAGAAGAGGAGAGUGGAACUCCAUGUGUAGCGGUGAAAUGCG
rnacentral:rRNA from 1 species